AGCGAACGCUGGCGGCAUGCUUAACACAUGCAAGUCGAGCGGGCAUCCUUGUGGUUUCCGCGGCAGACGGUUGAGUAACGCGUGUGAACGAGCCCUUCGGUUCGUAAUAACUCGGGGAAACUUUCUCUAAUACCGGAUACGCGCGAGAGCAGAAUGUUUUGUCUGCCGUAGGAUCGGCCCGCGUCUGGUUAGCUGGUUGGUUAGGUUACGGCUCACCAAGGCGUCGAUCAGUAGCUGGUCUGAGAGGAUGAUCAGCCACACCGGCAGUGAGACACGGCCCAGAAUCCUACGGGAGGGGGGAGUGGGGGAUAGAGGAAAACGGGGGCAACGAUGAACGAGCCAGGACGGGUAAGUGAUGUCGGCAUUGGGGUUGUAAAGCGCAAGUCUCCGGGACGAUAAUGACGGUACCGGAGGAAUAAGCCCCGGCUAACUACGUG
rnacentral:rRNA from 1 species